rnacentral:lncRNA from 1 species
UGAUGGAACCAAGGGUCCGAUGGUGAUCAAGUUUAUGUUGGAAUCAUGAGCAAGGGUUUUGAUUGCAUAUUCUUCUAGCUCAUCAAAGGUGUUUAUAAGAACACAAGGAUUAGGGUCUUUUUCCAGAACUCGAAUGUGUUUUUGAAAGUUAGUCGUGACAAAAGAGUGUGGACUGUAUGGUAACAGAAAAGAAGGCAGGUCUUUCCAUUUAAAUGGAGGCAACCCUUCAAAGUUUAUGAAGCUUGGAGGGCAAUUGAUUUUAGAAUCAUAAGCCCCUGUUUGGCUAUUGAGGUAAUGGUGGUAGAUAGCGAACGCAGCACCACUAUGAUUGCAGAGUAAAGCAGAAGGAAUGGACAAGUCCCGAGCCACAUCAGCGACCCAAGACAGCAAGAGACUAUAUAUCAAGAAACUUACCGGAUGGCCUUCACCAGACAAGCUCAGCAGUAGGUUGGUUAGAGUUUGGGACCCGAUAUGCUCGAGUUUGGACAUAAUAUCCUCCUGUUUGUCAGACGGAGAAGUUCCAUCAUCGAAUCCGUCAGAAAAAAAGGCAUACGCUAAGCCCUCGAGAGAAGGGAAACUUUUGAUUUUCCGUUGGCCAGAAGUGGUGGUGGCAAAAGUGACGCGUGCACCGGCCUGGAUCAGGCGCUUUGCUAGCUGGAGAGUUGGGUUUAGGUGGCCUUGGCCAGGCAAGGUUACAAGGAGGAAGUGGGGAUCAUCCGAACUCAUUGCUUCUUCAGAAUUAUGGUAGAUUUUUGUUUAUAUAUGCGUUUAUUAUUGCCAACUAGAUAUAGUGAUCGAGCAGGUGCAGGUGGAGAAAGUAUAAACAGAAUUCGGAAAUUGUCACUUCUAGUGGCUUCAUUGAUAGUUCUAAAAGCAUGAUAGUGUUAGAGUAUUGUCCAAGCCAGAUCGAUGUUAGCUGAGAUGAUAAAUUCAGGAGAGACCUUUCUUGACUUUGGCGCCCCAUACAAAUUAGGAAGUCAAGGUGUUAGCUGGCCUGAAUGAAGAAAAAAUGGGAUUAAGACAGCUACGAAAGUAAAAGAAAUUGCUACAAGGUAAGAAAAUAGCAAGACAAAUGAAUAAUUUACUUAGAGAAAAGAUAUUAAAGAACUCUAUAAGAACAAGGACCACCCAAUUUCUUUCUCUAUGGAAAAGCAAAAAGACCAAUUAGUGUCUCGUGAAUUAAAAUAAAAGUAAAGUCUUCCACAUAUGCCAAACAAACGAAAUUACACUUACCAUAUUAAUUAGAGUUCUUUUUUUAAAUGAGCCUUCCGCAUAACGUGUUUUUGACAAUAGACCUUCUCAUAAUUUUAACUAUUUUUAGUCAAAAGAAUUAAAAUUUAGACAAAAUUACCCUUAAUGAAAUCUACCAAUUUAUUUGGUUCCGAUCUCAUUCCGAAAUCUAUUAACGGGUUAAGUAUGUUUAGGUCUGCACCUCAAACUGACUCAUAUUUUUUAAGCUUUUCUUACCAGACUAUUCAUUUUUGGAGUAUUCCUUACAAAAAAAAAAACGUUUAAGCAUUUUGAGUAUUUUGGAGUAGUUUUUGAUACAUGAAGAAAAUCUGUGAGCGUUUUGAGCAUUGUUAAGCAUUUUGGAGUGAUUUUUGAUAUAUGAAGAAAAACUUUUAAACAUUUUGAGCAUUCAUAUUCGUUAAUUAUGUUGUUAAAUGGAAUAUGGUAUAUCGUUUGAAGUUAUUGAUCUUAUUAAAUGAAAUUCAGUAGUUUUGGUGAUUUUUGAGAAUUACAUUACUAGUUUUUAGGCAUUGUGUGAUUGACUUUGGACAUUGCGCGACUGACUUUAGGUAUUACGUGACUAGUUUUUGAUAAGACAUUGCGUGACUAGUUUCUGAUAAGGUAUUGCGUGACUUGUUUCUGAUAAGGUAUUGUGUGACUAAUUUUUGAUAAGACAUUGUGUGACUAGUUUUUGAUAAGACAUUGCGUGACUAAUUUCUGAUAAAACAUUGCUUGACUAAUUUCUAAUAAGGCAUUACGUGACUUGUUAGUAAGGCAUUACGUGACUUGUUUGUAAAGUAUUGUGUGAUUUAGGCAUUACUUAAAAAUCAACUACGCAAUACCCAAAAACCAGUCACGUAAUGCCUAAAAAUCAGUCACGUAGUGAUUAAGUCACGAAAUACCUAAAGACCAGUCUCGUAAUACUUAAAAACCAAUCUAAUCAAUUUCAAUUCCUUAACUUUUGGAUUUUAUGAAUAAAUCAAUAAACUCAAAAACCUAAAACAUGUACUUUUUUUUUUGCUAAGCCAUAAAAUUAUGCAUUUCAUAAAAGAUAGGUUACAAAACUCCAUAACCCUUCAAAGCAAGACAAAAUAAAUCCCUAUCGGGAGGGUCUUGCUCAUUCCCCUUAUGCAAAAACAAAAUAUACUCCCUUUAUAAAAUAUUCCUUGAUCAAUUUUAAUUCAAAAUCUUAUAAAAAAAAUCAAAAUCCCCAGCAAACAUGUUUAACAAUCAUUCCAAUUUCAGACACAAUAAAACCGUGAACCACUAUAAAACCCAUCAAAUAUAUUUCAGUUAUUUAUUUUCCCUGAGCCCAUCAUUUUAACCAAUCUGAUCCAACUCAUCAACACAGGCAUCUUUAUCGCAGCACACGUUUCGAAACAAGUUAUCACUAGAAAGCAUCUAAUUACCAAAUUCAUCAUGCUGCCUAAAAUCACCAUAGAAUAGUAAAAUUACUGUUUAUAAUCAUUGAGAACCCCAAGAUCCACUAUCUAAAAAAAACAAAUAAGAAAGAACUUGAUGUCAUCUCCGCAUGACGAGAUAGAUAGUAUUUGACCAGAGAGAGAAAUCGAGAUUUAAUUUUAAAAUUUUUGUUUGGAUGGCGGGAUAGAGAAAACUAAAACUAUUUUAACUUGUCUGAAAUUAUUUAAAAGAUAUUAUUGUCAAGUCAUAUAAAAAAUUAAUUUAAAAUAAUUAAAAUUAUAAAAAAUAAUAUUUUUGAAUUGAGUUUAUAAGGAAAGUUAUUUCUCACAAUUUUUUCUAUUACUUAUUAGCACAAUCUUUGGAGAUCGACUGGGGUAGGACUUGGAAUCUUCUUUUGGUGAAUGUUAGGUCAUUUCAAUCGGUUUAGGGACAACCUUGAAUGAUUGUUGAAGGUUUGGUUUUUUUGUUUGUUUUUUAUUUGCUAUUGUUUUUGUUUUUUUUUUUGGAAGAAGAAGAAUUAGAAAUCUAAUGCAUGGCUUCUUUGAAAAAAAAAAGAUUGAUAAAUUUGCUAAGAAUAAAAAUGAGAAUUGCAAUUUAACUCUUUACUAUCAUACUACAAGGGCAUAACUCAAGAUAUUUUUUAAAAUAUAUUUUUAGUACAUGAAAUAAAAUAACAGAUAGAUUAACAAAAUCGAGAUAUUUCAUUAAAAAAAUCCUUUUGCUUUCUUGUCUCUUAAAUCUUGUAGGUUCAAUUCUUCACCUCUUCCAAUCUACUAAUAUAAUUUUUUAUUUGUCCUUCAAAAAGAAAAUAGUUACAUUUUUAUAAAAAGUUGGGCAAGCUGUACAAUAAUUCGACCAAGCUGUAAUCUAUGUAUAUAGUGGCUGAUUGACUUGUUCCCCCCAACCAAAGAGGAAAAGAAGGCAGAGCAUGGUUGUAAUGCUUCACUUCUGUUGGAGGAGGCAAGAUCUGCAAGCUGAUCACAUGUCACAUUGUCCAAUUAAUCUCCUGGACACAACAUCUUUAGCAGUGCUCUACGGGACUUGAUACAUGAUGAUAACACCCAUUUUUGUUUUAUCUCUAACCCCGUCUAAUGUAUGGUCAUGGACACUAUCCUGUCUAAUGUAUAGCCAUGGAUACUAUUUGGCUUUGUUGAUGUACAGUGAUACAAUAUUUCUUGUGUUUCUGAUUUAUUAUCGGAUUUCUAUCAAGUGUUUGUUACUAAAAUGAAUGACCAGUUGGUCUAUCCUUCCACUGUACUCCUGUGAUUUUCACUGUGGUGGCUGAGAAAAUAAAAAGAAGGCAGAGCAUGACUACUUUUUUGAUUACCAUGAAUGAAUUGAAAACAGCAAACUAUUCAUUAAUUUUUCCCUUUCUUUAUGACAAUCAUUCUUCACUUGACAAAGCUUUCCAUGAAAACCUUGAAAUUGUUGGCUGAGGAACCGCCUUGAUUCGUCGCCUCAAGAGCCAAUCCUCUCCACUUCUUAACAUGCCUUAUCAGUUCUUCCCCUUUCUGUCCAUUUCCCAUUACCAUCUCCAAGCACCUUCUGAUCUCUUCCUUCUCUGCAACUGCAGUACCUUCAUUUACUUUCACUCGAACACCAGUUUCCCAUACCUCGUCUACCAGCUUUGCGUUCGUCAUCUGAUCUGCAAACUGAGGCAAUGCAAUCAUUGGCACGCCUGCAACCAAGCCCUCCAGAGUGGAGUUCCACCCGCAAUGCGUCACAAAACAACCUACCGCCCUGUGAUUCAACACUUCAACUUGUGAACACCAUGGAACGAUCAGCCCUUGUUCUUCCUGUAUCUUAUCUUUUAUCGCAUUCUCGAAUCCUUCUUCUUCUUCUACAUCUUCUGAUGGUCGGAUUACCCAUAAGAAUGUGUAGCCACUUUCGACCAUUCCAUUAAAAAUUUCUUCCAUUUGAUUCCUGGGUAGUACUGCCACGCUACCGAAGGAAAUGUAAACAACUGAACAAUCUGGCUUGGAAUUCAACCAAUUGAUAUAAUAGUCAUGACUAGCGUUCUCAAACAACUCACAGCCAUUGAAUUUGUCUGAUGGAACCAAGGGUCCGAUGGUGAUCAAGUUUAUGUUGGAAUCAUGAGCAAGGGCUUUGAUUGCAUAUUCUUCUAGCGCAUCAAAGGUGUUUAUAAGAACACAAGGAUUAGGGUCUUUUUCCAGAAUUUGAAUGUGUUUUUGGAAGACAGCCGUGGCAAAGAGAGUGGACUGUUUGGUAAGAGAGAAGAAGGUAGGUCUUUCCAUCCAAAAGGAGGCAACCCUUCAAAUUUUAUGACGCUUGGAGGGCAAUUGAUUUUAGAAUCACAAGCACCAGUUUGGCUUUUGAGGUAAUAGUGGUAGAUAGCAAACGAAGCCGCAGACUGGAUAUAGAAGAAAGCAGAAGGUAUGGACAUGGCAUGAGCCACAUCAGCAACCCAAGACAGCAUGGGACAGUAUAUCAAGAAAUUUACCGGAUGCCCUUCACUAGACAAGCUCAGUAGCAGGUCGGUUAGAGCUUGUGACCAAAUAAGCUCGCGUCUGGACAUAACACCCUCCUGUCUGUCAGACGGAGGAGUACCAUCAUCGAAUCCGCCAGAAAAAGAGGCAUAGGCUAAGCCCUCGAGAGAAGGGAAACUUUUGAUUCUCCGUUGGCCAUUAAUGGUGGUAGCAAAAGUGACUCGUGCACCGGCCUGUAUCAGGCGCUUUGCUAGUCGAAAAGUAGGGUUUAAGUGACCUUGGCCAGGCAAGGUUGCAAGGAGGAAAUGGGGAUCAUCCGGAUUCAUUGCGUCUUACUUUCGUUUUGCUCAACUGAAUUAUGGUAAGCAAGACAAGUGAAUAAUUUGCUUAGAGAAUAGACAAUAA